rnacentral:tRNA from 1 species
AGUUUAAGUGGUGUAAAACACAUUAAGUUGUAAACUUAAAAAACCUAAAGGCUAAACUU